rnacentral:rRNA from 1 species
UACGUAGGGGGCAAGCGUUAUCCGGAUUUACUGGGUGUAAAGGGAGCGCAGACGGCAGUGCAAGUCUGGAGUGAAAGCCCGGGGCCCAACCCCGGAACUGCUCUGGAAACUGCGCGGCUAGAGUACUGGAGGGGCAGGCGGAAUUCCUAGUGUAGCGGUGAAAUGCGUAGAUAUUAGGAGGAACACCAGUGGCGAAGGCGGCCUGCUGGACAGUAACUGACGUUGAGGCUCGAAAGCGUGGGGAGCAAACAGG